UGUAAGCGUAUACCAAAGUUGUUGCAGUUAAAACGCUCGUAGUCGGAAUUUGGCAGUUCCGGAAGUGUGCACGUCGUGUGCGCACCUUGCGGGGACUGCUUUUGUGGUCUUGCGUAGGAUGAGGCACUUUCAUUAGUGAACGUCCUCACGCAACCACUCUUUACUGUGAGAAAAUCAGAGUGCUCAAAGCAGGCAUUUGCCGUGAAUGUAUUAGCAUGGAAUAAUAGAAUAGGACUCGGUUCUAUUUUGUUGGUUUGUUGGGACUGAGUAAUGAUUAAGAGGGACAGUUGGGGGCAUUUGUAUUCCGGCGCUAGAGGUGAAAUUCUUAGAUUGCCGGAAGACAAACUGCUGCGAAAGCGUCUGCCAAGGAUGUUUUCAUUGA
rnacentral:rRNA from 1 species